rnacentral:rRNA from 1 species
CAAGUUAACAGCUUGAAACCUGACAUAACCCGGAGAGGAAGCAGUGGCUAACUCUGUGCCAGCAGCCGACGGUAAUACAGAGACUGCAAGCGUUAUUCGGAUUCACUGGGCGUAAAGGGUGCGCAGGCGGCCGUGUGUGUUAGGCGUGAAAGCCCGAGGCUCAACCUCGGAAUUGCACCUAAAACUACACGGCUAGAGUACUGGAGAGGGUAGCGGAAUUCACGGUGUAGCAGUGAAAUGCGUAGAUAUCGUGAGGAACACCAAUGGCGAAGGCAGCUACCUGGACAGUAACUGACGCUCAGGCACGAAAGCGUGGGGAGCAAAAGGGAUUAGAUACCCCUGUAGUCCACGCCCUAAACGGUGCACACUAGGUCUUGGCGGAUUCGACCCCCCCAGGGCCCAAGCUAACGCGUUAAGUGUGCCGCCUGAGGACUACGGCCGCAAGGCUAAAACUCAAAGGAAUUGACGGGGG